AGGGGAGGGUGAUGGUUCAGUAGUGUUAAACGAAACUGCAUUUCCAUUAAAGCAUACUGCCUGGUCAUCAGACGAGCCACCAAAUGAUGAGCAGAAGUUAUUUUCGGAUUGCCAGACAUCAGUAAGCUUUGACGAUGAACUAGGUAGUUGUGCACUUCCUUGCAAGGAAGGUUGAAAAGGAGAGUUGAGUACUGUCACAUCUUUGCAGGUUUCCCAAACAAGUUUGCAGUAGUCUUGUGUGGAAUC